UACGUAGGGUGCAAGCGUUGUCCGGAAUUAUUGGGCGUAAAGAGCUCGUAGGCGGUUCGUCGCGUCGGCUGUGAAAACCUGAGGCUCAACCUCAGGCCUGCAGUCGAUACGGGCGGACUUGAGUACUGCAGGGGAGACUGGAAUUCCUGGUGUAGCGGUGAAAUGCGCAGAUAUCAGGAGGAACACCGGAGGCGAAGGCGGGGCUCUGGGCAGUAACUGACGCUGAGGAGCGAAAGCGUGGGGAGCGAACAGG
rnacentral:rRNA from 1 species